AUCGAUUACUCAUGUGGUGCCGUCGCUAAGCCCGAAAAUUAUUGUUGUAAAUUUAUUUACUUUAUUCAAUUGGACAAACUUGGAGCGUGUGGACGAGCUUAGGAGCAUUGUAGUGCCAGCCGAUCCUAGAUAAAAAACAGAUAAACCGCCAUGUCUACGCAGCCAGCGGAGAUUGAGGAGAGUGCGGCGGCGAAGUCCAAGCGACCUUCAGAUUCGGCCUUCAAGCAGCAGCGCCUGCCCGCCUGGCAGCCCGUCCUCACCGCCCGCACCGUCCUGCCCACAUUCUUCGUGAUCGGGGUGCUCUUCAUACCCAUCGGCGUGGUCCUGCUGCACCUGAGCAACACCGCCAACGAGCUGAUCAUAGACUACACCAAGUGCAGGUCGACCACUGGCAACGCCACCUGCGCGGAGUUCCUGGAGGCCAACCCCGGCCGCGAGUGCCCCUGCCAAGUGCCCUUCGUUCUGCCCAAGGACUUCAAUGGCGAGGUCUAUAUGUACUACGGACUGACAAACUACUACCAGAACCACCGGCGCUAUGUGAAGUCACGGGACGACGAGCAACUGCUGGGUCACCUGUCGCAAACGCCCAGCACGGACUGCGCCCCAUUCGCUUAUGGUCCGGAAUCCGGAAAGCCCAUAGCGCCCUGCGGUGCCAUCGCCAACUCGCUGUUCAAUGACACGCUGACCCUGAUCCAGGGUGGAGCCGAGAUCAAGCUGUUGAAGACGGGCAUUGCCUGGCCGUCGGACAAGCGGGUCAAGUUCCGCAACCCGGAGGGCAACCUCAACGUCACCCUCGAGGGCUUCGAGAAGCCGGUGUUCUGGCAGAAGGGCCUGGCCGACCUGGACCCAGAGAAUCCGGAGAACAACGGCUUCCAAAACGAGGAUCUUAUCGUGUGGAUGCGCACUGCCGCCCUGCCCAGCUUCCGGAAGUUAUAUCGUCGGCUCGACCAGACGAACAGCAACUAUGCUAACGGCCUCAAGGCCGGCAAUUAUACGCUAAACAUCACGUAUAAAUAUCCAGUGGUCUCGUUCGACGGCACCAAGCGCAUGAUAUUGUCCACCACUUCCGUGCUGGGUGGCAAGAAUCCUUUCCUGGGCAUUGCGUACAUUGUGGUCGGCGCCAUUUGCAUCACAUUGGGCCUGGCCCUGCUUUUCAUCCAUAUGCGCUGCAGUCGCAGAAUUGUAGUGCAUUAAGUACGCUGGGAAUCGAGAAUAUCAUAACCCAUUGAAGCCCCAUAAUUAAGCAUGGCCAAAAUACCUUUGCUCGCAACAUGGAGAUGAUCAACGUGAAUCCGCACACGCAGUACUCCUAGACCGAGCACCGACAGUAUUCCGGGCUGAUUCAAUUAGCUUUAGUAGAUCCAUCUGUUUAAGCCCAAUCAGCAUAAAGUAGUUUCUAUUGACCAACUGGCACUGUGUUCUCAACUACUCUGUUCUAUUUGCUUUCUGGCUGUCUGCAUUUGGCCAUCCGGUGAUCUGGCCAUGCCUUUUGUUUAUUCUAAUUCUGUUCUUGUCCCCACAUGUGCAUCCAAAAUAAUUGUGAUUCUCUUUGUAUAACUUAUUCUGCACAUCACAACAUUAAGUGGACGCCCUUCGAAAAUCCACACGAAUUUCCACCAUUGCUUUACAAACUGCAAAGUAUUACUUUGCGCCUGACCUAAUCUGUAUUGCCUUUUACUACGUUUAUAAGCGCAAAUAAAUAUUGUUAAUGGCA